ACCUUAAUAUACUAAACCGCAACCUCUCUACCUCCGAUGUCCUCCAAAACCUACGCCUUGAUCCCGUCCUCCAAGUCCAAAUUGAACAGUUGCCGAUCACCGCCGCGCUCUCCAAGUUCUUCUCCGAUGUUCUCCCUCAGAACCUCGCCGUCGACCUCGCGGACUUAUUCGAUGCCCCAAAACGGUGCAGUUUAGGUUUCGGAAGCAGUGCGGUUUGGGUUUCGGAGGAUGGGACCAAGGAAUUGUGGGAAUGUGCAUUAGCGAGAAGCGCAAGUUGAAAAUUACUGCACAUAUGGGCUAUGUGCAUUAGCGAGAAGCGCAAGUUGAAUCCCAGGUGGUGCCACACUGAUAUUCGACACCGAGCUCGUUGAAAUUUUGGGGAGAGAUUCAAAGAACGACGGGGAGCUGUAGUGGAAUGAUUUCUGGCUUGAGCUUCCUUUUUUUUUUUUUUUUUUCACAUUUAGUUUUCCUAAAGGAAUUACUUGUGGUAACCAGUGGCUUGGUGAGACAAAACGUUAUUUUGCUUUAUAGUCAUUAUCAGAUUACACUACU